rnacentral:rRNA from 1 species
CCUACGGGAGGCAGCAGGAGCGAAAAUUGCCCAAUCCCGACACGGGGAGGCAGUGACGAGAAAUAACAACUCUUGGUUAUUCUAAGAAGUGUAAUGAGGAUAAUUUAAAACCCUUACCGAAAGCAAUUGGAGGGCAAGUCUGGUGCCAGCAGCCGCGGUAAUUCCAGCUCCAAUAGCGUAUAUUAAAGUUGUUGCAGUUAAAAACGCUCGUAGUUGAAGUUCUGGCUGCUUGACCCUCGAGCUCUGUAGCCGAGGGCUCAGCAGUCAUCCGCUUGCAAACAUAUGUUCGCCUUUAACCGGGCGACUAUGUGAGUAAGCAUUUUACCUUGAGAAAAACCAGAGUGUUCCAGGCAGGUUUGUCCGGAAUGCAUUAGCAUGGAAUAAUAGAAUAUGACUGAAGUCGAUUUAUUGGUUUGAGGCUUUAGUAAUGAUUAAUAGGAACAGUCGGGGGUCAUUGGUACUUGACAGUCAGAGGUGAAAUUCUAGGAUUUGUCAAAGACUAACAAAUGCGAAAGCAUUUGCCAAGGAUGUUUUCAUUAAUCAAGAACGAAGUUAGGGGAUCAAGACGAUCAGAUACCGUCCUAGUCUUAACUAUAAACUUAUUACCGAUUCGGAUUCAGNNGAUNAGUAGUUNAGUUGGGACGUUAGGAGGAAUAACCGUAAGGUUUUGGGUUCCGUAAGGGGUAAGGUAAGGUGGUCCGGNGAAGGCUUAAGGAAACCGGUUAAAGGUUAAGGUUAAGGUUCCGGUUCCGGCCGGNGGAAGGUUAACCGGCCGGAACCGGAACCGGAACCGAACCGAACCGGAAGGGAAGGAAGG